rnacentral:lncRNA from 1 species
AUGUGCUGCAGGACAAACUUCCAGUCUCAUCAGUUCCUUGCUCACAGUGGCCACACAAGAGCCUGCACACCCAGGGAGAGGACACGAUGUAGUUGUGGGAAGGCGGAGCAGGCAGGCAUUACGUACGUGCAGAAACCCAGUGACUGCAACAACGCUGCUCUCACGGGGGAAGCAUGCUGGGUCUGGCCAGUUUCAACCUGCAGUUUGGUGAUAGCACUGCAAAGUCCCAGUAGAAGCAUAAAGGUUCUUCCAUCCAGAUACAGCCCUGGCCAGGCUGUAAAUUUUGAUUUUGAAGCUGCACAAUGCAUGCUUUGAUUCCACUGUUUUGAAGUCCUGCUUGUAGAUGUAAAAUCAUGACUGAAAGCUGAUGGUGUCUACAAGAAUGCCAGCUGGCUGGAGGAUGGAGGCUGCAGGAUAAAUCAAGAGCUGGGGGUGUAUGUAUGUGGGUGACCACCAUGUCUGAAUGUUUUAUCCCCAAACCAGCACUCAAGCUGAGGCCUUCAGGCAUUCAGUCUUAUUCUAGAAAGUUACCAGCCAGCAAUUCUGUGGCUUCGGAGUCACCACAUAUCUCCAUCCCAACCCUCAUAUUUAAGAUGAAAAACU